AGACACUGGAUACACGUUCUAGAACAGAUAUUCCUAAUUCAGGAGCUGAUUGCAGAAAAAAGAAUGCCCAUUUCUGAACUCAGCUGAGAGCAAUCAGUGCUAAUCCACCACGUGUACCAGCUUCCCGCGGAUGCCGAAGUGGUCCCAGAAUCCUCUGUCCGCAGGCGCCAUCAGGGUUUCUCUCCCGAACUCCGUGGGUCUCCGCUCCUCGUCACGCUUCUCGCCCUCACAGGGAGACAAGGAGACAAAUAAAGAAAAGUUCCUCAGGCAUUGUCUAGCUUUGCAUCAAGUCAAUUUCCAGGAGGGCUGAAUCUUAAAUUUGAAGAUGCUGAGCACCAGAGGAAUUAAGAAUACAGUCGUCUUGUAUCCAGUGUCAUGGAUAGCUACUUAAAAUCUCCUGGACAGAGUUUGCAGAUAUAUAUUUUGAAAAUCUUACUCUCAGUAUUUAUUUCAACUCUUUCGGUAAAUUUUAGAGUUUAAAAAAAUAGAAGAAGAAGGAGAAGAAAACGGUGGCUCUCACUGCUGGAGCGAGGCGGAAGGAGCACGGGAAGAUGGCGCCGGCCCCCCGGCCUCCUCUAGGAAGGCACCUGUAGGUGCCCACACACCGGAUGCCUGUCCUCAGGCCGACGGGGCCAGACCAGCAAAUGACCCUCCUUCAGUCUGGACGCCUCUCCUUUAGCCGCUUGUGUGCUGGACCCUGGAGCAGGGAUGGACAGUCCAGAGAUAAAGGGGAAGAGGGGAGCCUAAAACACAUCAAUCCCAGAAAUCUCUGGAGGAGUAAUGAGCUGAACCUAAGUGUGUCUGUGUUUGAUAGACUCUGAGGAGGAGAGUUUUUUGAAUAGAGAAGAUUUCUGGUAUCCACCAUCUGCCUUUGGCCAUGGACCACUCUCUGGACAAUUUCAGUAUGAAGGCUAUAUCCCCUCUCCUCAAAUUCAUAUUUGAGCAUCCGUGAAGAGAUACCCCAUGCCCAAGGCAGGAAUCCCUCAGAAGAAAUGGAGUAGCCAUCAUGGUCAACAAAAGAGUCCAAAAUGCCGUACUUGGAUGCAAUCUCAAAAACGACAGAAUGAUCUCUGUUCGUUUCCAAGGCAAACCAUUCAAUAUCACAGUAAUCCAAGUCUAUGCUGAAGUAACUGAAGUAACGCUGAAGAAGCUGAAGUUGAACGGUUCUAUGAAGAUCUACAAGACCUUUUAGAACUAACACCCCAAAGAGAUGUCCUUUGCAUUAUAGGGGACUGGAAUGCAAAAGUAGGAAGUCAAGAAACACCUGGAGUAACAGGUAAAUUUGGCCUUGGAAUACGGAAUGAAGCAGGGCAAAGACUAAUAGAGUUUUGCCAAGAAAAUGCACUGGUCAGAACAAACACCCUCUUCCAACAACACAAGAGAAGACUCUAUACAUGGACAUCACCAGAUGGUCAACACCGAAAUCAGAUUGAUUAUAUUCUUAGCAGCCAAAGAUGGUGAAGCUCUAUACAGUCAGCAAAAACAAGACCAGGAGCUGACUGUGGCUCAGACCAUGAACUCCUUAUUGCCAAAUUCAGACUUAAAUUGAAGAAAGUAGGGAAAACCACUAGACCAUUCAGGUAUGACCUAAAUCAAAUCCCUUAUGAUUAUACAGUGGAAGUGAGAAAUAGAUUUAAGGGCCUAGAUCUGAUAGGUAGAGUGCCUGAUGAACUAUGGACAGAGGUUUGUGACAUUGUACAGGAGACAGGGAUCAAGACCAUCCCCAUGGAAAAGAAAUGCAAAAAAGCAAAAUGGCUGUCUGGGAGGCCUUACAAAUAGCUGUGAAAAGAAGAGAAGUGAAAAGCAAAGGAGAAAAGGAAAGAUAUAAACAUCUGAAUGAAGAUUUCCAAAGAAUAACAAGAAGAGAUAAGAAAGCCUUCUUCAGUGAUCAAUGCAAAGAAAUAGAGGAAAACAACAGAAUGGGAAAGACUAGAGAUCUCUUCAAGAAAAUCAGAGAUACCAAGGGAACAUUUCAUGCAAGAUGGGCUCGAUAAAGGACAGAAAUGGUAUGGACCUAACAGAAGCAGAAGAUAUUAAGAAGAGGUGGCAAGAAUACACAAAAUAACUGUACAAAAAAGAUCUUCACAACCCAGAUAAUCACGAUGGUGUGAUCACUGACCUAGAGCCAGACAUCCUGGAAUGUAAAGUCAAGUGGGCCUUAGAAAGCAUCACUACGAACAAAGCUAGUGGAGGUGAUGGAAUUCCAGUUGAGCUAUUCCAAAUCCUGAAAGAUGAUGCUGUGAAAGUGCUACACUCAGUAUGCCAGCAAAUUUGGAAAACUCAGCAGUGGCCACAGGACUGGAAAAGGUCAGUUUUCAUUCCAAUCCCAAAGAAACACAAUGCCAAAGAAUGCUCAAACUACCGCACAACUGCACUCAUCUCACACGCUAGUAAAGUAAUGCUCAAAAUUCUCCAAGCAGGCUUCAGCAAUAUGCGAACCAUGAACUUCCUGAUGUUCAAGCUGGUUUCAGAAAAGGCAGAGGAACCAGAGAUCAAAUUGCCAACAUCUGCUGGAUCAUGGGAAAAGCAAGAGAGUUCCAGAAAAACAUCUAUUUCUGCUUUAUUGACUAUGCCAAAGCCUUUGACUGUGUGGAUCACAAUAAACUGUGGAAAAUUCUGAAAGAGAUGAGAAUACCAGACCACCUGAUCUGCCUCUUGAGAAAUUUGUAUGCAGGUCAGGAAGCAACAGUUAGAACUGGACAUGGAGCAACAGACUGAUUCCAAAUAGGAAAAGGAGUACGUCAAGGCUGUAUAUUGUCACCCUGUUUAUUUAACUUAUAUGCAGAGUACAUCAUGAGAAACGCUGGACUGGAAGAAACACAAGCUGGAAUCAAGAUUGCCGGGAGAAAUAUCAAUAACCUCAGAUAUGCAGAUGAUACCACCCUUAUGGCAGAAAGUGAAGAGGAACUAAAAAGCCUCUUGAUGAAAGUGAAAGUGGAGAGUGGAAAAGUGGCUUAAAGCUCAACAUUCAGAAAACGAAGAUUAUGGCAUCCGGUCCCAUCACUUCGUGGGAAAUAGAUGGGGAAACAGUGGAAACAGUGUCAGACUUUAUUUUUCUGGGCUCCAAAAUCACUGCAGAUGGUGACUGCAGCCAUGAAAUUAAAAGACGCUUACUCCUUGGAAGGAAAGUUAUGACCAACCUAGAUAGCAUGUUCAAAAGCAGAGACAUUACUUUGCCAACAAAGGCAUGUAUGGAUGGAUGUGAGAGUUGGACUGUGAAGAAGGCUGAGCACCGAAGAAUUGAUGCUUUUGAACUGUGAUGUUGGAGAAGCCUCUUGAGAGACC
ensembl:lncRNA